rnacentral:tRNA from 1 species
GGUAUCAUACGCCCAGUGGUAGAGCACAUGCUUAGCAUGCCUGAGGUCCUGGGUUCAAUCCCCAGUACCU